CCUACGGGUGGCAGCAGUCGAGAAUCAUUCACAAUGGGGGAAACCCUGAUGGUGCGACGCCGCGUGGGGGAAUGAAGUUCUUCGGAUUGUAAACCCCUGUCAUGUGGGAGCAAAUUCAAAAGAUCGUACCCCCAUAUGCAGAGCCGGCUAACUCUGUGCCAGCAGCCGCGGUAAUACAGAGGUCUCAAGCGUUGUUCGGAAUCACUGGGCGUAAGGCGUGCGUAGGCUGUUUCGUAAGUCGUGUGUGAAAGUCGCGGGCUCAACCCGCGGACGGCACAUGAUACUGCGAGACUAGAGUAAGGGAGGGGGAACCGGAAUUCUCGGUGUAGCAGUGAAAUGCGUAGAUAUCGAGAGGAACACUCGUGGCGAAGGCGGGUUCCUGGACAUUAACUGACGCUGAGGCACGAAGGCCAGGGGAGCGAAAGGGAUUAGAUACCCGAGUAGUC
rnacentral:rRNA from 1 species